rnacentral:tRNA from 1 species
ACCUGGGUGGUUCAGUCAGUUGAGCGUCUGACUUCCGCUCAGGUCACGAUCUCAUGGCUCGUGGGUUCGAGUCCCGCAUCGGGCU